rnacentral:rRNA from 1 species
UACCAGCUCUCCGAGUGGUAGGGAUGAUUAUUGGGCUUAAAGCGUCCGUAGCUGGCUUAGCAAGUCUCCUGUUAAAUUCAGCGACCUAAUCGUUGAGCCGCGGGUGAUACUACUAGGCUAGGAGGCGGGAGAGGUCGACGGUACUUUCGGGGUAGGGGUGAAAUCCUAUAAUCCCGGGAGGACCACCAGUGGCGAAGGCUGUCGACUAGAACGCACUCGACGGUGAGGGACGAAAGCUGGGGGAGCGAACCGGAUUAGAUACCCGGGUAGUCCCAGCUGUAAACUAUGCGGGCUAGGUGUUGGGGUGGCUACGGGCCACUUCAGUGCCGCAGGUAAGCCAUUAAGCCCGCCGCCUGGGGAGUACGGCCGCAAGGCUGAAACUUAAAGGAAUUGGCGGGGGAGCACCACAAGGCGUGAAGCUUGCGGUUC